GAUCUUAGGAGCAUGAAAAGUCUCUUAAUAGGGGUCAACAAGACUUGACGACACUCAACACAAAGCAAAUAGCUUAUGUGGAAAGGUUGCAAUCAUGUAAAGUAGAUAUAGCUGUGGUAGGAAUUCAUCACCCUUGAGGAACAAUUAAGGGUUUGAUCAUUUUAAGAAUAAAUCUCUGAUAAUCAUGCAUGCUUAGAAUAAUAUUAUAGCAGCUCUUGUCUCACUAUCUCAUGUCCCACAACAACUUAGACUUAGUUCUAGCACUUGCAACCCACAAAGUUUUCAGGUUCAUGGCAGUUUAAGUGAGCUAAGUGAUCCAUACUUGGAGAAAUACUAAGUUGUAUACUAGGUACUAGAGAAACAUUAACAAGCAACUAGUCAUCAUUUCCAUGAGGGAUAUAGACAUACAUGAAGCAUAUAUGCUAAAGGGAAAUGCUAAUUUUUUUUAGAGCAAGAAUGAUAAAAUGCAUGGAAAUAAAUAGGAUAGAAUACUUACCUUGGUGGGGG
rnacentral:lncRNA from 1 species